CCUACGGGUGGCAGCAGUGAGGAAUAUUGGUCAAUGGCCGGAAGGCUGAACCAGCCAUGCCGCGUGAAGGUCAGUGCCCUAUGGGCGUUAAACUUCUUUUGUGCGGGAGCAAUAAUGGUCACGUGUGGCCAGACGAGAGUACCGUACGAAUAAGCAUCGGCUAACUCCGUGCCAGCCGCCGCGGUCAUACGGGGGAUGCAAGCGUUAUCCGGAUUUAAUUGGUUUAAAGGGUGCAUAGGCUGUGAGGUAAGUCAUCGGUGAAAUGCCCCCGCUUAACGGGGUGAAGUGCAAUUGAUACUGCCUUGCUGGAGUGCGGAUGCCGUGGGAGGAAUGUGUGGUGUAGCGGUGAAAUGCAUAGAUAUCACACAGAACACCGAUUGCGAAGGCAUCUCACGAAUCCGCGAUUGACGCUGAUGCACGAAAGCGUGGGUAUCAAACAGGAUUAGAUACCCUUGUAGUC
rnacentral:rRNA from 1 species